UAUUCAUGUGGGUAGUCAAUGCUAAUUUGAAUGUAAAUAAAGUGCUAAGUGCCUUUAUGCAGAUGUACAUGUUUACAUGUUGUAUGUUCAGUGGAGUGGAUUUAUUGCAUGUAGAUUGAACGUUUUGCUCCCUUACUUUCUUGACUUUUUUCUUUCUGUCUUUUUGUAGACAAUAAUGGUAGAACAGAUCAGCUCCUGGCAAUAGUUAUGUAACAAACAACAAUAUAUACCAAAAAAUAGAUUAGAUCACUGUGGAAUUACUUAAUAUUCAUCACUACUGAGACUUUUACACUAUGGUUGCUUUUGUUGCAAAUCAAAGAAACAUUAAGAAAUCCUAAAUAAACAACAAGAAUGAUUCUUACAAUGACAUUUAUCUUCCUGACUUUCUCUUCCUGUCUCUCUCCCAGAAAUCUUUAUAAAGAACUAAAUGUCAGCUUCUGGUCUUUGUAGCAGCCGAUGCUGUAGAUAGAAGAGGAGACGAGGCCAGUCUGGAAGGUAAGCCUCAUUAUUUGUGGGGAAAAUGAGAUGAAUGUGGCACUGAUGAAUCCUUGAGCAGAUAUCAAACUUAGUGGGAGGCUCUCCUCGUGGCCAGUUCCAAACGAAGUGCAGUCACUGACGGUUGGCUGGAGGGGGACUGAGCAAUGGUGAAGACCGAGCUGUAUGACGGUUGGCUGUAGGGUGGCCUUUGCUGUGUUUGAUCGCAGUUGGAGCUCUCGAGCACGAUGAGGAAGACCGCUGUGGUCCAUCUGGCCUGGUCUUUAAUCAGUGCUUCCCUUCAGAGAGGGGGCCACGCUUUCCCUGUGCUGACCAGGCCAGCUUUUGCUUAGAGCAACCACAAGAUGAAUGUAGCUUAUUCAUAAUAUUAUUCAGCCCUCUGCAACAGUGAAUAUCUAUAGUGGAUUUCAGUUGGUCUAUAUUGAAUUGUAAUAAUAAUGUAUCUAAUUAUGUCUGUCUUAAGUUUUAAAAGAAAGAAAAAAGUUGGCAUAUCUUUGAUCAGAUGUGUCAUACCCAUUGAAAAAUUGCUUCUUAUAUAUCUUACACUGUUUAAAUAAUGCACACACACAAAGAUACACACACAAUUAUUUAUACACAACAGGUCAGUUUUUUAACUCUAGUCCCCUCAAAUGCUAAACUAAAGGUGUACCACAAGACUAACAAAUCUAUAUGUGUUUGAUAUUCAUAAUACAUGGCAAUCAUAUAGUAGCUUUUCAAAGUUGUGCAGACUGAAUUUGAUUCUGAGCGACUACUGUAAGUUAUCUGAAAAAAGUAUCUCAUUUUUAGCUCAUUGAUAUUGAAGGUACAACUCAUAUCUCUGGGGUAAAAUCGAACAGAAAUAUGCCAUCGAUCUCUCUUUUUUCCUUUCCUCGUUCCCCCUGUUCCCCCACCUAUCUUUCCGUGUUUGUAGAUACUCCAUCACCUUGUCUUUCUGAGCCCUGGGAAAAGCAUCGUCAGUAUUUCUGCGCCACUGUCCUCCAUCCAUGCUGCCUUUCUCCCAGAACUCAUGGUGCCUUACUUAAUCAAAGCAGAAGAGAGCAAGACGAGAGAAAGGAAAAGAUUCAGAAAAAGACACAAGGGCCGCUAGAUGUAGACAGAAGGAAUGCCUUAAGAAGCAAUUAGCAUAUGUACCCCCCCCCACCACCCCCGCCUGAAACGGGAUUAUUUCAGUGAGUUUGUAUUGAUGUUUUUGAACAGGCUCUAUGGCAAAGCAUUUAAUGCUGAACACUGCUGUUAGAGAGAAUGCAUUAUUAAUGUGAGGGGAAACUAACGGGGACCAGCAGUUCCUCGGGGCUGUGAAGAGGACGGUUGGCGUCUCUGAGGAAGCAACACCACGCCUCAAAGGUCUUCCUCAGUAAUGCACACAUGCCAGGCAUCUAUCAUUUAUUCAUGACAGUCAGGCGCCUCCAACUCCCUCGAACAAUUAACGAAUCAAUGAAAUGUAUGGGCUCAGAAACUAUCAAUUCGGGGAAACAGCGCCGUUUGUCAACGUGUCAGCUCUUGGGCACAGGCUAUCAUUCAGGCAGAGAGCACAUUUAUCACUUUAGAAACAGCCUGCGUGUCAUAGCAACGCGGAUAAUCCUACUACAAAAUGGCUGCCCGAUUCUGAUGAAUGAUUGAACUUCUUUAAUAACAAUCGGCCGUGACUGCUUUUAUUAAUUUAUUUAACAUGCACUCCAACAUAAUGGAUGGGGUUUUUCAAGGAGUCUCUGGAAUCUGUUUUCUUGUAAAUAAACAGCAGCGUGUUUUGUUCAGUUUGAGGGAACAAAUCUUGUCCAAGUGGCCCGUUUAAUUUCAAAUCGAGUUCAUCUUAAAAGAUUGUAGGCUGAACAAUUCAACAACUAAUGUCUUCGAGCUGUAAAAGUAAACGUGGGCGAAGAGAAUGAGAGGAGGAGAAAAAGAGUGAAAUUGAUGAAUUACUGGCGCUGCUUUCUACACUACAUUGCCUUCGCAAUUCCUGUUCAAUUAACAAAACCAUUAAUUAUAGUACUUAAGCAAGCCGGGGUAAACCAGACAAGCAAGCAUUCAUGCACUUAACACACAUUCCUGCGUAAGCAUUUACCGCUCCUCUUUUAAAAAUCACUCCAUCAUCAUUCCUGAAAUACUGAAUCAUUAAAAUGUCUAUUUCUUUUUCUGGAAGAAUAAAACGGCACCGGUGCUGAAAAAAAACAUGAACUAUUUUCUGCAUUUGGAAAUACUGUGUAUUUUAGUAUGCAUUCUCGUCUUGAGUGCCGGCUCAGCCAUAGAAAUGACUCUUCCUUUGUAAUUUCCCCCCCUUUUCUGCUCUUUCUUUUAUUUUGUAUCUUUUUAUGGCUUUGCUUGAAUAGUCUCACUUGAAACACAAAGCUCUCGCUGUUCACUGGAUCCUCAGUUUUGAUGUUCUUUUUCCCUGCAGAAAUCACAGCCCUGAAACUCCAGAUGAAGACUAGACCUUUAUUCUGUAUGCGGAGAGAGCUGUCUUUUCAAAGAGAAAAAGGGGAGAGUUUUCAAGACCUCCAAUCUGCUGCUCUCCUCAUCAACACCCAGUCCCUGUGAAAUCAUCAAAAAGCAAAGACAGUGGAAAAAAAAAAUCACAUCUUUUCAUACUGACUCUGGGCUCAGAGUUUCAGUAUUAACUGUCGUCCCUGGAGGAAGAGUCUUCCACUAGAUAGGCACAGGGGUCAGAUGUCACCUGUCCUCCCAGGCGAGUGGAGCACUGGUGGGGCUAAGACUCAAGCAAGGCAGGCUGCCCUGGUUCUCUCUCUCUGCCUGGCUGGAGACACCUGCUCCUCGCUUCACUGGUGACGGCCCCCAGUGGUGCUUUUUACGUCUACUUCCACAUGCACAAGCAUCCUGAAGCACUGCGGGUGUGCUAGUGGAUAUAUGGCUUGGAUGAAUAUGCAAAAUGUUUCAAAUCCCUGAGCUGCGGAGGAUUUUAAGGCAAGUGUGUACACGCACCUCAGAAAGGUUGCAAAGAAGGGUUUAAAAAUCAGCUCUCUCUCUGCCGAUGAACACCCAG